rnacentral:tRNA from 1 species
GGUUCUGUAGUGUAGUGGCAAUCAUGUCUGCUUUGGGUGCAGGAGGUCACGCGUUCGACUCGCGUCAGAACCC